rnacentral:rRNA from 1 species
GAUGAACGCUGGCGGCGUGCCUAAUACAUGCAAGUCGAGCGAACAGACGAGGAGCUUGCUCCUCUGACGUUAGCGGCGGACGGGUGAGUAAAACGUGGAGGACCUACCUAUAAGACUGGGAUAACUUCGGGAAACCGGAGCUAAUACCGGAUAAUAUAUUGAACCGCAUGGUUCAAGAGUGAAAGACGGUUUUGCUGUCACUUAGAGAUGGAUCCGCGCCGCAUUAGCUAGUUGGUAAGGUAACGGCUUACCCAGGCAACGAUUCGUAGCCGACCUGAGAGGGUGAUCGGCCACACUGGAACUGAGACACGGUCCAGACUCCUACGGGAGGCAGCAGUAGGGAAUCUUCCGCAAUGGGCGAAAGCCUGACGGAGCAACGCCGCGUGAGUGAUGAAGGUCUUCGGAUCGUAAAACUCUGUUAUUAGGGAAGAACAAAUGUGUAAGUAACUAUGCACGUCUUGACGGUACCUAAUCAGAAAGCCCCGGCUAACUACGUG